rnacentral:tRNA from 1 species
AGGAAUAUAGCUCAGUUGGUAGAGUGCUUGCCUUCUAUGUACAAGGCCCUGGGUUCAAUCCCCAGCACUACAA